rnacentral:rRNA from 1 species
CAGUCGCCGCGGGAAUACGUAGGGCGCAAGCGUUAUCCGGAAUUAUUGGGCGUAAAGAGCUCGUAGGCGGUUUGUCGCGUCUGCCGUGAAAGUCCGGGGCUCAACCCCGGAUCUGCGGUGGGUACGGGCAGACUAGAGUGAUGUAGGGGAGACUGGAAUUCCUGGUGUAGCGGUGAAAUGCGCAGAUAUCAGGAGGAACACCGAUGGCGAAGGCAGGUCUCUGGGCAUUAACUGACGCUGAGGUACGAAAGCAUGGGGAGCAAACAGGAUUAGAUACCCCGGUAGUCCCUGUCUCUUAUAC